rnacentral:rRNA from 1 species
UGCAGUCGUACGGUAAUAUCCACGUGCUUGCACAUCGAUGACGAGUGGCGGACGGGUGAGUAAUGCUUGGGAACUUGCCUUUGCGAGGGGGAUAACAGUUGGAAACGACUGCUAAUACCGCAUAAUGUCUUCGGACCAAACGGGGCUUCGGCUCCGGCGCAAAGAGAGGCCCAAGUGAGAUUAGCUAGUUGGUAAGGUAACGGCUUACCAAGGCGACGAUCUCUAGCUGUUCUGAGAGGAAGAUCAGCCACACUGGGACUGAGACACGGCCCAGACUCCUACGGGAGGCAGCAGUGGGGAAUAUUGCACAAUGGGGGAAACCCUGAUGCAGCCAUGCCGCGUGUGUGAAGAAGGCCUUCGGGUUGUAAAGCACUUUCAGUUGUGAGGAAAAGUUAGUAGUUAAUACCUGCUAACCGUGACGUUAACAACAGAAGAAGCACCGGCUAACUCCGUGCCAGCAGCCGCGGUAAUACGGAGGGUGCGAGCGUUAAUCGGAAUUACUGGGCGUAAAGCGCACGCAGGCGGUUUGUUAAGCUAGAUGUGAAAGCCCCGGGCUCAACCUGGGAUGGUCAUUUAGAACUGGCAGACUAGAGUCUUGGAGAGGGGAGUGGAAUUCCAGGUGUAGCGGUGAAAUGCGUAGAUAUCUGGAGGAACAUCAGUG